AGAGUUUGAUCCUGGCUCAGGAUGAACGCUAGCGGAAGGCUUAACACAUGCAAGUCGAGGGCGAAAUUAGGUAGCAAUAUUUAAUAGAGACCGGCGCACGGGUGAGUAACGCGUAUGCAACCUACCUUAUACAGGGGUAUACCUCUCGGAAACGAGAAUCAAUCCCCCAUAGUAUCCUAUAGAGGCAUCUUUUUAGGAUUAAAUUUACGGAGGUAUAAGAUGGGCAUGCGUACCAUUAGGUAGUUGGUAGGGUAAUGGCCUACCAAGCCUACGAUGGUUAGGGGUUCUGCAAGGAAGGUCCCCCACACUGGUACUGAGACACGGACCAGACUCCUACGGGAGGCAGCAGUGAGGAAUAUUGGUCAAUGGUCGCAAGACUGAACCAGCCAAUCCGCGUGCAGGAAGACGGCCCUAUGGGUUGUAAACUGCUUUUAUAUUGGAAUAAAGACAGAUACGAGAUAUUUGAAUUGCAAGUACAAUAUGAAUAAGCAUCGGCUAACUCCGUGCCAGCAGCCGCGGUAAUACGGAGGAUGCAGGCGUUAUCCGGAUUUAUUAGGUUUAAAGGGUGCGUAGGCGGUUUUAUAAGUCAGUGGUGAAAAUCUAGAGCUUAACUUUAGACUUGCCAUUGAUACUGUAUGACUAGAGUGCGAACGAGGUAUGCGGAAUGUGCAGUGUAGCGGUGAAAUGCAUAGAUAUUGCACAGAACACCGAUUGCGAAGGCAGCGUACCAGGCCGCAACAGACGCUGAUGCACGAAAGCGUGGGGAUCAAACAGGAUUAGAUACCCUGGUAGUCCACGCCGUAAACGAUGAUCACUUGCUGUUAGCGAUAUAAAGUUAGUGGCAAAGGGAAACCGAUAAGUGAUCCACCUGGGGAGUACGUUCGCAAGAAUGAAACUCAAAGGAAUUGACGGGGGCCCGCACAAGCGGAGGAACAUGUGGUUUAAUUCGAU
rnacentral:rRNA from 1 species